rnacentral:rRNA from 1 species
UACGAAGGGGGCUAGCGUUGCUCGGAAUCACUGGGCGUAAAGGGUGCGUAGGCGGGGCUUUAAGUCAGAGGGGAAAUCCUGGAGCUCAACUCCAGAACUGCCUUUGAUACUGAAGAUCUUGAGUUCGGGAGAGGUGAGUGGAACUGCGAGUGUAGAGGUGAAAUUCGUAGAUAUUCGCAAGAACACCAGUGGCGAAGGCGGCUCACUGGCCCGAUACUGACGCUGAGGCACGAAAGCGUGGGGAGCAAACAGG